GAGACUCUGUAGCAGCGGAGGACCGUUUGAGGUGCAGACCAGCAGAAACUGAGGCUCGGGCGGUGCCUCCAUACAUCGCUUAUCAUCAGUCUCCCGACAUUAGCUGGAGUUGUUGCUGCAGCUGUUGGUCCGUCAGUCCUCAGUCACACCGGGACACCAGGUCAACUUCAGGGCUGAAGCUGCAAUCCAAUUUCAACAUUAAAACAACACUCAGCUCUGCGAUCGCUCCAAAAACCCAAACAACUGCUCCUCGGCCCAACAGCUCAGCGCUCUGCAGGAAACACACAAUCAGUAGUAAUCCCGUUAGCAGAGUUCCUCCAUAAUCCCGGCACAGCGUCCAGAUCCCUGCAGGUCUUCACAGCUUCUUCAGCGCAGCUCUGUGGGAUGCUGCUGGACCCCGACUGAAGCCCUCAGGAUGUUGAGCUGGGUGGUCAAAGUGGUCCCCCAGCCGCCUGAGCCUCCGCCCAAAACAGCCGAAGAGCAGAAGGAGAAGAAACCCGCCGCUGCCCCGCCUCCCGCCGUUGCCCCGCCUCCCGCCGCU